rnacentral:rRNA from 1 species
GCUUAAAACUCAAAGGACUUGGCGGUGCUUUACAUCCCUCUAGAGGAGCCUGUUCUAUAAUCGAUAAACCCCGAUAUACCUCACCAUCUCUUGCUAAUCCAGCCUAUAUACCGCCAUCUUCAGCAAACCCUAAAAAGGAAUAAAAGUAAGCACAAGUAUCUUAACGCAAAAAAGUUAGGUCAAGGUGUA